rnacentral:misc_RNA from 1 species
UAAUAAGACUUCGUUAGAAUGUCUCGUAUAACACGUAUAAUACGUUCAUAAGAAGUUUCUAUAAAAGUUCAAAUACUUUCGUGAGCCACUGUAAUCAUUCAUCCAUGACUAAAUGAAUAUUAAACAAAAGGAAAAAGAAUUCGAGAAAUUUCGUUUGAACUCAUGGUGCUUUCGCUUGCAUCCGUUCCCACUAUAGUACAGUUAACGGCUGGCACUCGAUCGCGAUUCUUCUAAUUAAUGCAGUGGCGGUUACCUCGAGCGUGUGACCGGUGAAUUCUUUGGCACAGAAGUCGCAGCGUGCUCGCCGCUGGGCGCAAGUGUACUUUAAAUGGUCCUCCAUCAGCACACGCGGGAUCAUCGCGCCACACUUAUUGCUGCAGGGGACCGCGUCGUGCUUGCAGGUAUUCAGGAAUCGAGUUGCAUCGAUACAUAGAGCGUACGAAACGCGCGAGAACGGAAAGCAAAGUCGAUGCCACGGAGGUGCACGAAGGAGGCCGAGCGGGUUCGGAAGCAGCCGAGGCCAUCUGUUACGCUCGGUUCCCACGCUUCCGCCGUCGCCUUUCCCCGCCUUUGGACCAGUCCUCAUCGGUCCUUUUCUUGCCCCCUCUUUCGCCGACACUGCCGGCUCUCGCCGUCGCUUUAUUUUAUAUAGCCGGAGAACGCUUGGACGUCUUUAACCGCGAGUCCGCGUUUUCUGUUACGAACUUACGAGGCGAAACUUUUGUCCAUUAUCGCGAGAUUUCUGCUCGUCGUAGUUUCCGUUUGGCUCAGUCUCGAGGCGUUAAGUAAAAGUUGUACGACUAGUCUUGUAAGGAUAGGACCGGCCAAAAUCUUUAUCUCUUUCGGUCCCGUUCUGU